CCCCGCCAGCGGCCGGAAGCGGGUCUCCCCCCGGGAGCGGGGCCGCGCGCCCCCGCUCGGUGAUGAACCGGCAGCGCCCCGCCCUCGGGAGCACGGACGCGGAUUCUACUGGACGCGGAGAACGAGCACAAGCAGGGGAGCGGCGGAGAGAGCAGCUGAGCGGGGAGCACCAGGCGGGACUCGAUCCCAGGACCCCUAGAUCAUGCCGUGAGCCGAGGCCGCUGCUUAAUAGACGGAGCCACCCAGACACCCCUAGAUUCUACUUUUUAAGAAAAUGACGAGCCGCUUCUCAGGGCGACCUAACUGGACUCCCCACCGGCGCUGUGUGACCUCGGCAGCCUCCGCGCCCCGUUCGUCCUGGGCGCAGCCGCUCUAGUGCUGGAAGGGUCCCUGCGCACCGUCUUUUCCUGGGCUUGUUCGCCGCCCAUCGGCCCUCCUCGGUGAAGAGCUGGUUCAAACCUUUUGCCCAUUUAAAAAAUUAAAGCGCUGGGUCAUUAUCGAAA